AUUGAACGCUGGCGGCAGGCCUAACACAUGCAAGUCGAAUGGUAACAGGAAACAGCUUGCUGUUUCGCUGACGAGUGGCGGACGGGUGAGUAAUGUCUGGGAAACUGCCUGAUGGAGGGGGAUAACUACUGGAAACGGUAGCUAAUACCGCAUAACGUCGCAAGACCAAAGAGGGGGACCUUCGGGCCUCUUGCCAUCAGAUGUGCCCAGAUGGGAUUAGCUAGUAGGUGGGGUAACGGCUCAUCUAGGCGACGAUCCCUAGCUGGUCUGAGAGGAUGACCAGCCACACUGGAACUGAGACACGGUCCAGACUCCUACGGGAGGCAGCAGUGGGGAAUAUUGCACAAAGGGCGCAAGCCUGAUGCAGCCAUGCCGCGUGUAUGAAGAAGGCCUUCGGGUUGUAAAGUACUUUCAGCGGGGAGGAAGGGAGUAAAGUUAAUACCUUUGCUCAUUGACGUUACCCGCAGAAGAAGCACCGGCUAACUCCGUG
rnacentral:rRNA from 1 species